UGAUGAAAAGACCAUUCUAGAGACCAAGUCCCCAUUUUUUCUAAAGGUUAUGUUUUCUAUCUUCCUCUCUCAAAUUUUGUUAUCACUGAUUUUAAACAGUACUUAAUUCUUAGAAAAAAAAAAAAAGCUUCCCUAAAAAGGUAGGCAACUUUAAGAAAAUAGUAUAUGGCUGUAAAUGCCUUACGGGCAUUGAUACCAUAGAGAAACUACAUGAGUACUGUCUUUGGAGGAGUGUUUAAUCAUCUGUUAUAUAUAAUACAACCCGUACAUCCUCGUGCAUAGACUGGUCCCACAGUAAUCUGGUGAGGGCCCAUUAUAUCAACCCUCUGCACCUCUGAGGCUGUAAAACUUCAUACACAUGCAGCACUGAGAACAGGCUCUGCUCUCUACCUCGACUAGGGCUUCUGUUAUUUUAAAAUUUACUGGAUUGCUAUUUGUAAAAAUCCUUGCUUUUUGUUAUAUCACUGGGCUGCUUAAUUCAAUACCAUAAACAUUAAUGUCAGGACUUCUGUAAAUAGUAUCUUGUCCAGAUGGGUUAUGUAUGAAGUCUCAAGUCAUCCAGUAACAGCUGGAACCCUAAGGUUCAAGGUGGUAGUAAUGCUUUUCAUCUGCAAAAAUAUCUUAAGGAUAGGUUUCCAGGUAGACUCCUUCUACAGGGGUUGCUUUCUACUGCUUCAUCAUUUGUGUUAAGUCGGGAUCCUUGACACAAAUGGUUUGGAUAAAUGACCCACUACUAAUUACUGUAGCUUAAGUGCUAUUUCCUUGCCAAGGCAUCUCAAGAAAAAUCCUUCCUAUCUCUUAUUUUUUUGUGUGUGUAAAUUAACAAACAGUUAUUUUAAAAGGAGUGUCUUUAAAAUGACCAUUUGAUUUCUUUGGUGAUGCUACUACUGCCUCAGCAAGAAAGUGAUAUGCUAUACAGCGGAUUACUGUGGCGUAGGACCUAUGUUUAGCCCUUUAAAUGACUAAAAUCCAAGACCAAGCAGAUAGAAAUUGCUAUUAACCUAAAAGUGCUUAAUAUAUUUCAUUUUUGGUUACUCCCAUAUUCUUGAUAUUAUCAUAGACAUUUUUUUUUACAUCCCAAUGGAGUUAUUUGUAUUUAUUCGUACCAGUUUUUGCUAUUUCACGUAUUUAAACUAGCACCAGCUUUACCCACAAUUCAAGAAAGUUCUCCUCCUCCUACGAUGUCAUGGCCCUUCACUCUCAAUGUAUGGGAUGUCAUAGUACUUGAUGUUCUCGCCUGCCCACUGCUUCAAGGCGUCACUCAAGAUCUCCUGGGAUAGGCGGUGUGCAAAUUCGAAAAUCACAAUUUUAGGCGCUGGUGGUUCCUUCGCUUCCUUUCUGACGGUAUCUGGGGAAGGCAUCCUGGGUAGGAAUCUCUCUUCGGACAUGAAGCUUUCUUCACUUGCAUGUUGCUUCUCGCUCUCAAAUGUGGUGGGAAAUGGGAAAGUUUGCUUUGAUUUCAUGCAGCCCAUGUUAUGAAGAGUUUUGCGGGAAGCGAAGCAGAAGCAAAGACUACUUCAUCUUUGGCAAAGACUGAGCUCGUCCUUGUGACACUAACCAGUGCUCCUCCUCCACGGGCGCUUCAGAAAAUGUCUCCUUCUACCAGUCUUCACCUGUAGUGGUUUUCUGUGAAAAGAAAAGUUCCAUUUUGAAGUCACCAAAUGCAGACUACUGUAUGAUCAGGUAGCGUGUGGAAACAGUCCUCUUUGCCACUUGGGUCACUUGGAGGCAUUGUGAGGUAACAACAGCGUUGUCCUAUCGAUAGGAAAAAAAGAUGACCACUCAGUGACACUGGCCAUUUACAAAACAGGAAAAUCUUUUUCUCAAGAUCUUGAACAUCUUAUAAAACUAAAAACCCAGUUAAACUUUUGGUAGCUCAGAUUGAUUUAUGUUACACCAGAGUUCAGCAAACUUUGGGUCAAAUUCUAGCUGCCUGUUUUUGUAAAUUAAGUGUAUUAGAACACGGCCGUGCUAUUUGUUUAUGUGUCGUCUAUGGCUCCUUUCCUGCUGCAGCGGCAGAGAUGAGUGCUUGGACAGAGACCAUGUGGCCUGAAAUACCUAAAAUAAUUACUGUCUGGCCCUUUAUAGAAAAUGUUUGCCAACCUCUGAUUUGUUCUGUUGAGGGAAACAAGCUUAUAAAACAUUUUUUCCUGCCUCAACCUCAGGAGCCUCAGUACGUCUUGGACUGUUAUUGAAGUCAAGCCUGUCACCUGGUUAGACGUCUGCAAUUCAGACAGAAUGACAGCCUUUAGGCAGCACAAGUUAGAUGUGGCAAAGCCACCUCUUUUUGCUUCUGAAUUAGAUGCUCUCUAUCAAACUAUAUGAAAAGCUCAGAUUAAAAUCAGAUUAAAGAUUUCCUCUCUUAAAUGUUUCACUCUUGUUUGAUGUCUGGUCAGCAAGUAGGUCGCCGUGCUCUCUGUGUGCCCUCGAAGCUUCGCACCUGGGAGCUGUCACUGAAUAAACUUCUCUUAAGGUAGGACUUAAGGAUAGAUAAAUACAAAGCGACUCCAUUGGGAGGAGUCUAGCUAUAAAAAGCACACAGACAGUAUGAAAACUAGUGGGCAGGGAUGCCCGGGGGGCUCAGCGGUUGAGCGUCUGCCUUUGACUCAGGGCGUGACCCCGGGGUCUGGGAUCAAGUCCCACGUCGGGCUCCUGCAGGGAGCCUGCUUCUCCCUCUGUCUGUGUCUCUGCCUCUCUCUCUCUCUCUCUCUCUGUGACUCUCAUGAAUAAAUAAAUAAAAUCCUAAAAAAAAGGGGGGGGGGACAGUGGCUGUAUUCCAAUAAAACUUCACAAAAACAGGCUAGCCCCCCCAUAGGCCAUUCUGGACUAAGUUCCAACAAAGAGUAAAACAAGACCAUUUAAGGGAAUAUGUGACAUAAUCCAGACUCCUUCAAGGGUAUUAUCCACAAUAUCCAUCCUAGAUGAAUGGGGCAAAGCAGGAAAAUGUGUCCCGUGUCCAACUUACUAGAAACAGACCCCCAAACGGCCCAGCAUUUGAUAGUUAACACAAUUUAAUAGAACUGUAAAACUAUUUAAAUAUGUUCAAGAACAAAGGCAAAAUGAUCAUAAAGAGUGUAUAAGUAGAGAAUUUCAUCAGAGAAAUGGAAAUUAUAAAGCAGAAAGUACACUCAAGAACUAAAAGGAAAAUAUGAGCUAAUGGAUACUUAAUAAUGAACUUGAACAUAUGUGUAUAGAUAUAUCCAAUCUGAAAAACAGGACAAUGAUUUUUAAAAUCUGAACAUUCUGAGAAACCACUAAAAAGAUAAAGUAUAUCUUAAUGAGGAAUUAGACAUGUUUAACCCAGAAAGCAGCAGGAAAGGAAUAAUAUAGGAAGAAAAAGGAAAAUGCGACAAUUAGAGAAUAGCAAAGUGGCUCACUUAAAUACAUUUCAAAAAUUUGGAAGGAAAUGAACUAAAAAUUUCAGCUAAAAGGCAGACUAGUUAAAAAGAUCCAACCCACACAAACCUAGUCAACAGAUCUUUGCCAGAGGAGCAAAGGUGACGCAAAUAGCAAAGAUAGUCUUUUCAACAGGUGCUGGAACAAUGUUAUAUAUAUACACACAGAUCUUACACCUUUCACAAAAAUUAACUCAAAAUGGAUCACAGAUCUAAGUGUAAAACAUGAAACUAUAAGACUCCUAAGAAGAUAACAUCUAGGAGUUAAAUUAGAUAAUGUAGAUGAACUUGGGUGUGGCAAUCACUUUUCAGAUAGAACACCAAAGGCCUGAGCCAUGAAAGAAAUAAUUGAGAUUUUGGACUUCAUCAAGUUAAAAACUUGUGCUUUGUGUAAGACACUGUUAAGAAAAUGAGAAGCUAGGAGACUAAGAAAAAUAUUCAAAAGCAUAUCUGACAAAGGUUAUGUAUAAUGUACAAAACUCAACCUGAUUUUUCUUUUUUUAUAAAUUUAUUUUUUAUUAGUGUUCAAUUUGCCAACAUAUAGAAUAACACCCAGUGCUCAUCCCAUCAAGUGCCCCCUUCAGUGCCAGUCACCCCCACCCUACCACCCCUAGCUCGUUUCCCAGAGUUAGGAGUCUCUCAUGUCCUGUCUCCCUUUCUGAUAUUUCCCACUCAUUUUUUCUCCUUCCCCCUUAUUCUCUUUCACUAUUUUUUAUAUUCCCCAAAUGAAUGAGAGCAUAUAAUGUCCUUAAAAAUGGGCAACAGAUCUGAACAG
rnacentral:lncRNA from 1 species